CUGCGGCGCCUCUCGCUGGACGGAAGGAGUUCCUACGAUUAGAGUUCGCGCUGCAGGGUAAAGAUUUUGUCUGACAUCUCUCCAAGAACUCUUCAAGAGAUCUCAAUUACAGGUUGUUAGGCCUCAGAGAAGUGAGCACUCUUGGCUACAUAACAUGCAGGAUCUUAGUUCCCUGACCAGGGAGUGAACCUGUGCCCUUGCAGUGGAAGUGAGGAGUUCUAACCACUGGACCACCAGGAAAGCUUCUUGACCUUUAUCUAAGACUUGAUCCUUCAUACCCUCCAUAUCCAAUCAAGAGUCAAGAUUUUUUUCUCCAUUCCAGUUGCCACCAUCAUAAUCAAAGCCCUCACCAUCCGUCAUCUAAGUAUUUUGGCCACUGCUAAUUUGUCUUCCUAUCUUUGAUAAAAAUUGCUUAUUUUUUAAGAAAAUUAUUAUUAUGUUUAAUCCCUUUCAUUGAUCACAACCUUGUCAUGGUGAAGGGGCUUGCGUAACUCAAUGAAGCUAUGUGCAGGGCCACCCAAAAUGGACGGAUCAUAGAGGAGUCUUGAUAAAACAUGGUUCGCUGAAGUUCAUGGCAAUCUGCUCCAGUAUUCUUGUCAUGAGAACCCCAUGAACAGUAUGAAAGGGCAAAAAGAUCAUGACACUGGAAGAUGAGCCCCCCAGGUGCUUCAGUUGCCUUUGUACAAAGAUAAACAUCUUUACCUGAAGGCUUGAUGUGGUCCCCACCUGCCUGUCCAGCUUUCUCUGGCAGAGCUCUCAACAGCAGGGGACCCCAGCUUCUGGGAUCUAAGGCCUGAUGAUCUGAGGUAGAGCUGAUGUAAUAAUAAUAGAAAUAAAGUACAUAAUAAAUGUAAUGCACUUGAAUCAUCCUGAAACCAUCCACCUUCCCCAGGCCCGUGGAAGAAUUGUCUUCCAUGAAACCAGUCCCUGCUGCCAAAAAGGUUGGGGACCUGCUCCAGGACUGGAUCUUAAAGUUAUGUGAUACUUUGCCCCUCUUGCCUUAGGGCCUUUGCCCUGCAUUUUCCUUCUCCUACUGCUCUUUUCUCUGU